UACGUAGGCAGCAAGCGUUGUUCGGAGUUACUGGGCGUAAAGGGUGCGUAGGCGGCUUCUUAAGUCUGGUGUGAAAUCUCCCGGCUCAACUGGGAGGGUGCGCCGGAUACUGAGGGGCUAGAGUGUGGGAGAGGAAAGUGGAAUUCCUGGUGUAGCGGUGAAAUGCGCAGAUAAUCAGGAGGAACACCGGUGGCGAAGGCGGAUCUCUGGGCCAUUACUGACGCUGAGGAGCGAAAAGCGUGGGGAGCGAACAGG
rnacentral:rRNA from 1 species